rnacentral:rRNA from 1 species
AACGAACGCUGGCGGCAUGCCUAACACAUGCAAGUCGAACGAGACCUUCGGGUCUAGUGGCGCACGGGUGCGUAACGCGUGGGAAUCUGCCCUCCGGUUCGGAAUAACACAGAGAAAUUUGUGCUAAUACCGGAUGAUGACGUAAGUCCAAAGAUUUAUCGCCGAAGGAUGAGCCCGCGUAGGAUUAGCUUGUUGGUGGGGUAAUGGCCCACCAAGGCGACGAUCCUUAGCUGGUCUGAGAGGAUGAUCAGCCACACUGGGACUGAGACACGGCCCAGACUCCUACGGGAGGCAGAAGUGGGGAAUAUUGGACAAUGGGCGAAAGCCUGAUCCAGCAAUGCCGCGUGAGUGAUGAAGGCCUUAGGGUUGUAAAGCUCUUUUACCAGGGAUGAUAAUGACAGUACCUGGAGAAUAAGCUCCGGCUAACUCCGUGCCAGCCGCCGCCGUAACAC